rnacentral:ncRNA from 1 species
AUCAAUAAACAUGAUAAAUCAAGUAUGUUAUUACAACCAUCUCGUGAUUGAUCUUUGGGCAUACUCUUACAAGGUCCAGCGGUCGGAAGAGCACCGCACGUCGUGUGGUGUCCAGUGGGCCCCCGAUGGCCCUUGAAAAUUCAGAGGACUGAGUGCCGUCAGCGCCCGGUCGUACUCAAAAACGCAUCAGGUCUCCAAGGUGAAAAACCUCUGGUCAAUUGAACAAUGUGGGCAAGAGAAGUCGGUAAAAUGGAUCCAUAACCUCGGGAAAAGGAUUGGCUUUGAAGGUUGGGCAUGGGGGUCCCAGUCCGGAACCCGUCGGCUGCUGGUGCACUGCUUGAGCAGUCCUCGCGACGAGAGCGGGUCACCCCGUGUAGGCCGGGGGACAAACUGGGAAUAGCUCCCUCGGGGGCCUUCCCCGAGCGACGAACAGUCGACUCAGAACUGGUACGGACAAGGGGAUCCGACUAUUUAAUUAAAACAAAUCAUUGCGAUGGUCCCUGCGAAUGCUCACGCAAUGUGAUUUCUACCUAGUGAUUUGAAUGUCAAAGUGAAGAAAUUCAACCAAGCGCGGGUAAACGAUAGGAGUAACUAUGACUCUCUUAAGGUAGCCAAAUGCCUCAUCAUCUUAUUAGUGACGCGCGUGAAUGGAUUAAUGAGAUUUCCAUUUUCCCUGUCUACUAUCCUGCGAAACCACAGCCAAGAAUCAGCGGGGAAAGAUGAC